CUCAUUUAAGGGCUGACUGCCACUAGGGAAGGAUCUCUGGUUCAUCCCUUGUGGAGUUUCCUUGUGAGCCUAGAUGCUCAGAGAGGGAAACUGCUGUAAUGAUUUGAGACCAUUAAUGCAUCUCCAAACUGGAAUACAUGUAGAUGAAAUCACAAGACUUCAUCUGGUGUUCACCAGAGUACUGAGGUGUGUUCAAUAAAUGCUCAUACAGCAGUUAAAUCUUGUAGCCAGAACAUCAUUGUAAGAUGAUGUGUGUUGUCUUCCCAAAUGGCAUGGAAGAGAUGUGAAAUACAUGAUGGUGUUCCCAUGGCACUGCUUGCAGAUGCUCCUAUCAAAGGUAAACUAUUUCCUUAUUAUCAUUAAUAUAAAAGGCCGUUUAUCUUCAAGUGCAAGGAACCUAAUAAAAAUUAACACAAAAUCUGUGUCUACCUGGUGCUUUCAAAGACUUUUAUUAGGAUGUAAUGAAGUGCUGGAGAAAUACACUCAUAGUGGCAGGGAAAAGAUCUGCAUUAAUUUAAUUUUAUGUUGGUUUAAGCAUAAUAAGCUGGCUUAGUGAGGGCAACUGAUAAAAUACUUCAGAACGCAAGUAGGGAAAUAGUUACUGAAGAAGUAUGACAGUGAGGUACAAAAAAAAAAAAACCCAACCAACAGAGUGGUGAUAAUGGUGUAUGGUUGUACACAUAGGAGAGCAAGGGCUUUGAGGGCAUAUCUGUAAGCAAAACUCACCUAAAUAUUACAGAAUUUUGAUUUUUUUUUCCAUGUAAGUGAUUUUAUGGAUUCUAGUAAAUGAGUAAGUGUACAAGAAAAUCUAAAUAAGAGUCCUAGAAAAUUUAUACAAUUUUAUGUUUUUAGAAAGCUUAUUGAAAUGUGGAUGAAAAUGUAUUUUAAAAAAAAAAGUGAAAUGCUUCACCUUUUCCUCCUCAUAUGAGAAAUCUGAGUUUGGAGUCUGCUGUGUUAAUGCUCCAGUCCUAUGUUCAUUUCUAUUGUUCAUCUACAUGCUGGUUCUGUUUAAUAGCAGGGUUUUAAAAAAUAUUAUAACAGUAAUGAUAAGCAAACUUGUUUGAAAUCAUCCCAUGCACUGACACCAGAAGCUCCUUACUUAUUUUGGAGUAUAAUUACUACAACAAUGAGAAGUUUGAAAGUUCUUGAAACUUCCUCUGCCGUGAACAGGAAAUAUGGGUUUCAUCCCACCUAGCCAUAUCAGGCUGCCACAUCGUAGUUCUGCCUGCUAAUGUGGUUCUGCAUGUUUAUAUCAUCAAUGGGAAAACGUGGGCAAUUGCAGGCAGCAGCUCCUGCCCUGCAGCUCAGAUGUUGUCCACACCAACCAAGCCCAACCAUGGAGGUCAGAUGGUGCCUUCUGUGCUCAGUAGCCCAGACUGCUGCAGCAAACUGUUGGAUUUCCACAAGUUACUGACCACCAUAACAGGUGGUAGAGUCACCAUCCCUGGAGGUGUUCAAGAAAUGUAUAGGUGUUGUA